GCGCGCGGGCGCGGGGGCGGGGCGCGGCGGGGCGCUUGCGGCUGCUGUCUGGGAGGGAGGCCGGGCAGGCGGCGGAGCUGCGCGGCGCGGCUCACAACCUGACGGGGAAGUGGUCCGGGCGUCCGCGGCUGACUGCCCCGUGGUGGACGGACGGACGACGGAGGCGGGAGGUGGGAGCCAAGCCGGGCGCCCGAGAAAGCUAGCGGGUCAGGCUCAGCGUCGGCGACCCUAGUCGGUCCGCUGAAUGAAGUGCCCGCCCCGCUGAGCCCGGAGCCCGGCGCUUUCCCCGCAAGAUGGACGGUUUCGCCGGCAGCCUCGAUGAUAGUAUUUCUGCUGCAAGUACUUCUGAUGUGCAAGAUCGCCUCUCAGCCCUUGAGUUACGAGUUCAGCAACAAGAAGAUGAAAUCACUGUGCUAAAGGCAGCUUUGGCUGAUGUUUUGAGGCGUCUUACAAUCUCUGAAGAUCAUGUAGCCUCAGUGAAAAAAUCAGUCCCAAGUAAAGGCCAGCCAGGCAUUCGAGAAGCUAUUUCCAUGUCCUGUAUAACCAAUGGGAGUGGUGCAAGUAGAAAACCAAGUCACACCAGCUCUGUUUCAAUCGCAAGAAAAGAAACUCUUUCAUCUGCUGCUAAAAGUGGUACAGAAAAAAAGAAAGAAAAACCACAAGGACAGAGAGAAAAAAAAGAGGACUCUCACUCUAAUGAUCAAAGUCCACAAAUUCGAGCAUCACCUUCUCCCCAGCCCUCUUCACAGCCUCUCCAAAUACACAGACAAACUCAAGAAAGCAAGAAUUCUACUCCCACCAAAAGCAUAAAACGACCACCAACAGCUGAAAAGUCACAUAAUUCAUGGGAAAAUUCAGACGAUACCCGUAAUAAAUUACUGAGGGCAGUUUCAACAUCAAAAUUAAUAUCAAAAGUUAUAAAAAAUGCAGACAAGCAUAAAGAUGUCAUCAUCAACCAAGCAAAAAUGUCAACCCGUGAAAAAAACAGCCAAGAAGGAGAAUAUGUUAAAAUGUUUAUGCGAGGUCGACCAAUUACAAUGUUCAUUCCUUCUGAUGUUGACAACUAUGAUGACAUCAGAACAGAGCUGCCUCCUGAGAAGCUCAAACUGGAGUGGGUAUAUGGUUAUCGAGGAAAGGACUGUCGAGCUAAUGUUUACCUUCUUCCUACCGGGGAAAUCGUUUAUUUCAUAGCAUCAGUAGUAGUACUAUUUAAUUAUGAGGAGAGAACUCAACGACACUACCUGGGUCAUACAGACUGUGUGAAAUGCCUUGCUAUACAUCCUGACAAAAUUAGGAUUGCAACUGGACAGAUAGCUGGAGUGGAUAAGGAUGGAAGGCCCCUGCAACCCCAUGUCAGAGUGUGGGAUUCAGUUAGUCUAUCUACACUGCAGAUUAUUGGACUUGGAACUUUUGAGCGUGGAGUAGGAUGCCUGGAUUUUUCAAAAGCAGAUUCAGGUGUUCAUUUAUGUGUUAUUGAUGACUCCAAUGAACAUAUGCUUACUGUAUGGGAUUGGCAGAAGAAAUCAAAAGGAGCAGAAAUAAAGACAACAAAUGAAGUUGUUUUGGCUGUGGAAUUCCAUCCAACAGAUGCAAAUACCAUAAUAACCUGUGGUAAAUCUCACAUUUUUUUCUGGACCUGGAGUGGCAAUUCACUAACAAGAAAACAGGGAGUUUUUGGGAAAUAUGAAAAACCAAAAUUUGUGCAGUGUUUGACAUUCUUGGGGAAUGGAGAUGUUCUUACUGGAGACUCAGGUGGAGUCAUACUUAUAUGGAGCAAAACUACUGUAGAACCCACACCUGGGAAAGGGCCUAAAGGUGUUUAUCAGAUCAGCAAACAAAUCAAAGCUCAUGAUGGCAGUGUGUUCACACUUUGUCAGAUGAGAAAUGGUAUGUUAUUAACUGGAGGCGGGAAAGACAGAAAAAUAAUUCUGUGGGAUCAUGAUCUGAAUCCUGAAAGAGAAAUAGAGGUUCCUGAUCAGUAUGGAACAAUCAGAGCUGUAGCAGAAGGGAAGGCAGAUCAAUUUUUGGUAGGCACAUCACGAAACUUUAUUUUACGGGGAACGUUUAACGAUGGCUUCCAAAUAGAAGUACAGGGUCAUACUGAUGAGCUUUGGGGUCUUGCCACGCAUCCCUUCAAAGAUUUGCUCUUGACAUGUGCUCAGGACAGACAGGUGUGCAUGUGGAACUCGGUGGAACACAGGCUGGAAUGGACCAGGCUCGUAGAUGAACCAGGACACUGUGCAGAUUUUCAUCCAAGUGGCACAGUGGUGGCCAUAGGAACGCACUCAGGCAGGUGGUUUGUUCUGGAUGCAGAAACCAGAGAUCUAGUUUCUAUCCACACAGACGGGAAUGAACAGCUCUCUGUGAUGCGCUACUCAUUAGAUGGCACCUUCCUGGCUGUGGGAUCUCAUGACAACUUUAUUUACCUCUAUGUAGUCUCAGAAAAUGGAAGAAAGUACAGCAGACAUGGAAAGUGCACUGGACAUUCCAGCUAUAUCACACACCUUGACUGGUCUCCAGACAACAAGUACAUAAUGUCUAACUCGGGAGACUAUGAGAUCCUGUACUGGGACAUUCCAAAUGGCUGCAAACUAAUCAGGAAUCGAUCAGAUUGUAAGGACAUCGAUUGGACGACAUACACCUGUGUGCUAGGCUUUCAAGUCUUUGGUGUCUGGCCAGAAGGAUCUGAUGGGACAGAUAUCAAUGCACUGGUGCGAUCCCACAAUAGAAAGGUGAUAGCUGUUGCUGAUGACUUUUGCAAAGUCCAUCUGUUUCAGUAUCCCUGCUCCAAAGCAAAGGCUCCCAGUCACAAGUACAGUGCCCACAGCAGCCAUGUCACCAAUGUCAGUUUUACUCAUAAUGACAGUCACCUGAUUUCAACUGGUGGAAAAGACAUGAGCAUCAUUCAGUGGAAACUUGUGGAAAAGUUAUCUUUGCCUCAAAAUGAGAUUGUAGCUGAUACCGCGCUCACCAAAGCCCCCAUCUCUUCCACUGAAAGUGUCAGGCAGUCAGAUGCUCCCACACCACCUCCUUCCCAGCCCGUAAACGAGACAGCUGAAGAAGAGAGCAGGAUAAGCAGUUCUCCCACGCUUCUGGAGAACAGCCUGGAGCAGACUGCGGGGCCCAGCGAAGACCACAGUGAGGAGCAGAGUGAGGGGGGCAGCGAAGACCUCGGUGAGCCUGCUUGUGAAGAGCCAGCCCCCGAGAUGAGCGAGGGGCAGAGCGCAGGCGCUCUUCCCGGGGACCAGCGAGACCCUUCACCCCUGCCCUAACGCCAGGACUUCAGUGCGGCUCGCUUUUUCCUUCAACUGCAUGAUGUGCUCUUGCGAUAAAGUUCAGAUAACAGGCCAGAAGUGAUGGAGAAUCACUAUUGAUGGAGAUUUUGGUUUCCACGUAAUCUGUUUUCAAUAGUCUUAUCUUCCGUCUCUUAAAUGCAGUCGACCUAAAGAUCAUGUUUAGAAACUUUGGAUGAGUUCAAAAGUCUUAAGUAUGCAAGUGUUUACGUGACUGUGCCAUUCCAAAGUGCAUCAGAACUGUCAUUCCCUUCUACUGUCUUCUCAGGAGUAAUACAAAUCAGGUAUUUCAUCAUCAUUUGGUAAUACACAAACUUCAGUGAACUCCCAAGGACACUCACAACAUUUGUAUUCACAUGCUGUAUGUAAGGGUGUGGGUAUGUGUGAAGGGGUGAGUGUAGACACUCACUCUGUGUGUGUAUCUCUAUAUAAGAAGAUAUGCGCCACAUUGAAAAUACUCAGUGUGUUAUCUCUGUGUAUAGAUAUAUGUCCAUGUAUUUCUCUUUCCUCUUGUUUACAACUGUUCAAAAAAAAAAAAAAACCUCAAAGUAGUUCUCUUCAAAAGAAGGGAGGUAGACUCCAAGCAACCCAUCAUUUUUCAGUAUGUUUGUACAUAAUUAUCAGAGAGCAGCAGUAGUAUCAGGCAUAUAUAUUUGCCUGUUAGCUGUGGUGACUGAAUCAUCAGGUCGGCAUGUGCUAUAUACCCUGCAAGAAAAAUACUAUGAGAUGAACAAGUAAUUCUAGGAGAAGAAAAAGCAUUUCGUUAAGUACCUGGGGGAUACCACUCUCCAUGAUAAGCAGGGAGUUUAUUUGGGGACAUCAGUCACCUUUGGGGUUGCUGUGUACCAUGAAAUUUAUAUUCGUGAUAUCUUGGGUGGUAGUUUCAAAAGACACUACUAAUACGCAGAAAGCGUUCCAGCUCUCUAUUGCUGGCAACUACUGUUUAACAGUCAAUUAAAUCUGUGAUAAUGGUUGGAAGUGGGUGGGAUUAUGAAAUUGUAGAUGUUUUUAGAAAAACUUGUGAAUGAAAAUGAAUCCAAGUGUUUCAUGUGAAGAUGUUGAGCCAUUUCUAUCAUGCAUUCCUGUCUUAUGGCAGAAAAUUUUGAAGAUUAAAAAAUAAAAUAAGAUGUUUCAUUUGUCUCUCUAAAUGUGUCUUGGGUCUU